rnacentral:ncRNA from 1 species
UAUUUACUGCCACCGGGUAGAAAUGCAAAGCAUUUGUUAAGUACAUCGUUAGGUCUUUGAAGAUGUGCUCAGCAAGUGCGAUUUUUU